UACGGGGGGGGCAAGCGUUGUUCGGAAUUACUGGGCGUAAAGGGUUCGUAGGUGGCCCGCUAAGUCAGACGUGAAAUCCCUCAGCUCAACUGGGGAACUGCGUCUGAGACUGGCGGGCUUGAGUGCAGGAGAGGAACGCGGAAUUCCAGGUGUAGCGGUGAAAUGCGUAGAUAUCUGGAGGAACACCGGUGGCGAAGGCGGCGUUCUGGGCUGUUACUGACACUGAGGAACGAAAGCCAGGGGAGCAAACGGG
rnacentral:rRNA from 1 species